rnacentral:rRNA from 1 species
UACGGAGGGUGCGAGCGUUGUCCGGAAUCACUGGGCGUAAAGGGCGCGUAGGUGGCGCGGAAAGUCAACGGUGAAAGCCCGGGGCUCAACUCCGGAAUUGCCUUUAAGACUGCAUCGCUAGAAUUGUGGAGAGGUAAGUGGAAUUCCGAGUGUAGAGAUGAAAUUCGUAGAUAUUCGGAAGAACACCAGUGGCGAAGGCGACUUACUGGACACAUAUUGACGCUGAGGUGCGAAAGCGUGGGGAGCAAACAGG